GAUGAACGCUAGCUACAGGCUUAACACAUGCAAGUCGAGGGGCAUCAUGGCGGUCGCUUGCGACCGCUGAUGGCGACCGGCGCACGGGUGCGUAACGCGUAUCGAACCUGCCGCAUACCCGGGGAUAGCCUUGCGAAAGCAAGAUUAAUACCCGAUGUUCUCACUGUUCCGCAUGUUACGGUGAGCAAAGAAUUUCGGUAUGCGAUGGCGAUGCGUCCCAUUAGCUAGUUGGCGGGGUAACGGCCCACCAAGGCGACGAUCAGUAGCCGGCCUGAGAGGGUGAACGGCCACAUUGGGACUGAGACACGGCCCAA
rnacentral:rRNA from 1 species